rnacentral:rRNA from 1 species
GACGAACGCUGGCGGCGUGCUUAACACAUGCAAGUCGAACGGAAAGGCCCUGCUUUUGUGGGGUGCUCGAGUGGCGAACGGGUGAGUAACACGGGAGUAACCUGCCCUGGACUUUGGGAUAACUUCAGGAAACUGGGGCUAAUACCGGAUAGGAGCUCCUGCUGCAUGGUGGGGGUUGGAAAGUUUCGGCGGUUGGGGAUGGACUCGCGGCUUAUCAGCUUGUUGGUGGGGUAGUGGCUUACCAAGGCUUUGACGGGUAGCCGGCCUGAGAGGGUGAUCGGCCACAUUGGGACUGAGAUACGGCCCAGACUCCUACGGGAGGCAGCAGUGGGGAAUAUUGCACAAUGGGCGGAAGCCUGAUGCAGCAACGCCGCGUGCGGGAUGACGGCCUUCGGGUUGUAAACCGCUUUCGCCUGUGACGAAGCGUGAGUGACGGUAAUGGGUAAAGAAGCACCGGCUAACUACGUG